rnacentral:lncRNA from 1 species
GUUAGUGUUUUGAAAGUUUACAGAGAAGUUCUUCAAAAUCUCUCAGGGCUCCACUGGCACUAAGCAGCAGCAAAAGGCACUUCAGCGUCAAGAAGUCUGAAAGCUGAGGCAGCUUAAGCGAUGCGUGCAUGCAUUGACCAAUGAACUAGACCAGGACUGUGGGUCAGCCAUAAAGAGGAAGGAGAGCCUCAUAUACGUUAGGCGUCCCUACAGAGCCCUAGGCCACAAGGAGCUGGAUGGUCUCAAAAGGACAAAGAGCUUAUGCAUCUACUUCUGAGAACCCUAGAGUCUCAGGCCUACUGAAGCAGAAAGCAGAAUGAAACACCUAGACUGGAGAGGGACGGACAGUGAGUUCUCUCAAGAUAGUCCCGGCUGUCUUGGAGCUCACUACCUAGACUGAACUGGCUUUGAAUUCAUGAAUAUUCUCCUGCCUCUGAGUGUUGGAAUUAAAGGCAUGGACUACUACAUCCAA